rnacentral:rRNA from 1 species
UACGUAGGGUGCAAGCGUUGUCCGGAAUUAUUGGGCGUAAAGAGCUCGUAGGCGGUCUGUCGCGUCUGCUGUGAAAACUCGGGGCUUAACCCCGGGCCUGCAGUGGGUACGGGCAGACUAGAGUGCGGUAGGGGAGACUGGAAUUCCUGGUGUAGCGGCGAAAUGCGCAGAUAUCAGGAGGAACACCGGUGGCGAAGGCGGGUCUCUGGGCCGUAACUGACGCUGAGGAGCGAAAGCGUGGGGAGCGAACAGG